rnacentral:lncRNA from 10 species
UCUUGGCUGAGGGCAAAGACGCUCCUGGCGCUCCCGUCUUUCGGCUUGCCUCAGUUGCCACUGCCAUCUUGGAUCAGGGUAAUUCCCGCCUCUUGGGCGCUCCCGGUUACAACCUCGGCGCCAUCUUGGAUUAGUUCAAUGUAGCCACCCUCUCCAGGCCCGCUGCUUCUGCCAGCUGGAUGUUGCGUCGUCCCUCGCUAUUCGCCCUCCUAUAAUCACUGCUUCCAUGUUGAAUCAAAACAAUUAUGCUUUCGUUCUCCCUUCUUCAAUUGCCCUAUCUUCACACCUGAACACUAUUGCUCCGGUAUCCUGCCAUUUUGGAUCAGGGCGGUUGACGGUGGAUUCACUUCCCAUCAGCCCUUGAGGCUGCAGGGACCAGCCCUUUGUACAGUGGAGAAGCCCAGGCGGCCUAGAAUCCAGUGUCGUCCGUGAGUGCUUGGCUGGUGUUCAAGUGCAUCUUCCAGCCUGAGACCGCGUGGACUCGCUCAUCGUGAGGGCGAGAGGAGGAUAAGCCCAUUGGGCUGUCGGCUGAGAGUGAGACCAUCCACAAUAUUGUUUGAACAUCUGAAGACAUGGGGAACUUGCCAUCUGAUAUCUGAUAACAGACUUCCUGUAAAGCAGGACUGGUAGUUUCCUGAUAACAAAUUCUUCAAUAUGAAGAUUGCUGAUGAAAUCCUUGGCAUCGUCGGAGAUCUCAUCGAAUGCCUCGUCGUCGAAGUCCCAGGUGGCUGAGGUAACGUUGGCCAAGGUUUCGUUAUCGUUGUCUCCCAUGAAGGGGGAAAGGCCACUGACUCUGGAGAGACAAGAGCAGGACAGCAGGUGUGGCUAGGAGAGGGCGCGACGACCAGUAACUUUGUUUUACAGAUGAGGGAAUUGAGGCACAGCCCAGGCUCAAGUCACCUGCCCAAAGAUUCACAGCCAGUGAGAUUGGAAGCCAGGUAUCUGCCUCUAGAGCCUGUCCUCUUAAAUGCUAUACUAUCCUAACAUUUCUGUAAAGAUGAAGUAAAUUGCAGUGUUCAGCACUGGCACCAGGCCUGGUCCACAGUAAGGAGGCGGUCCAUGCCCGGAGAUCUCAUGCAGUUCUGCUGGGUUCCCUCCACUGCCUUACCAAGCUGUGAGUGCAGGAAUGACUUUGUGACCAGCAGCUUAAGCCAAAUAAACUUUAUAAGGUAAAGAAUUUCAAAACAAAAUAGAGCAGAUUUGUGGCUUACUGACCUUACCUCUCACCUCUGUGCACCUCACCUUCAUAGCAACAACUCACCCCACUGUUCAUGAGGGCCUUGUGAGUCAGCCUCAUGGGUGUUAGACCAGCACAGUUGCCCACAGUCCCACCCUUAGACAGGCCCUGUGCUUGGUUUAAUGCUCUGCUGCUGUCGUCUCAAGAUUCUCAAUAAGGUUUGAACAAGUGGCCCCACCUUUCAUGUUGCAAAUUGUGUAGCUGUUCCUGCCCUGAUCUCAGCUGAGCCCCAUGAGAUGGGUCUGGGGGCCAGGCGUGGUGGCUCAUGCCUGUAAUCCCAGCACUUUGGGAGGCCAAAAUGGAUGGAUCACCUGAGGUCAGGAGUUUGAGGCUAGCCUGGCCAACACGGUGAAGUCCUGUCUCUACUAAAAAUACAAAAAUUAGCUGGGCAUGGUGGCAAGCACCUGUAAUCCCAGCUACUCGGGAGGCUGAGGCAGGAGAAUUGCUUGAACCCUGGAGGUGGAGGUUGCAGUGAGCCAAUAUCGCACCAUUGCACUCCAACCUGGGCAACAAGCGAAACUCAAUCUCAAAAAAAAAAAAAAAAAGAGAGAUGGGUCUGGGGCCCUCCUGCCAUCAACCUGUCAAGUUAGGGCUUUACCAAUGUCCCUUCUCCCAAAUGCUUAUGAAUCCAUCAUCAUAAGCCAAGCACUGACAGCUU